UUGGCACCUCGAUGUCGGCUCAUCGCAUCCUGGGGCUGAAGCAGGUCCCAAGGGUUUGGCUGUUCGCCAAUUAAAGCGGUACGUGAGCUGGGUUCAGAACGUCGCGAGACAGUUCGGUCCCUAUCUGCCACGGGCGUUGGAUGGUUGAGAGGAGCUGCUUUUAGUACGAGAGGACCGAAGUGGACGAACCUCUGGUGUACCAGUUAUCCUGCCAAGGGUAAGUGCUGGGUAGCUACGUUCGGAAGGGAUAACCGCUGAAAGCAUCUAAGUGGGAAGCCCACCUCAAGAUGAACCAUCCCUGACGCUAUAAGCGUCCUGAAGGAUCCAGGAAGAUGACCUGGUUGAUAGGCCGGAGGUAUACGCAUGGUAACAUGUUAAGCCGACCGGUACUAAUUUUCCGUGAGGCUUGACCAUAUUUC
rnacentral:rRNA from 1 species